GAAGCGGCAACAGCUCAAAUUUGAAAUCUGGCGCAAGCCCGAGUUGUAAUUUGUAGAGGAUGCUUCAGGGCAGCGGCCGGUCUAAGUUCCUUGGAACAGGACGUCAUAGAGGGUGAGAAUCCCGUAUGCGACCGGUUGGCACCCGUCACGUAGCUCCUUCGACGAGUCGAGUUGUUUGGGAAUGCAGCUCUAAAUGGGAGGUAAAUUUCUUCUAAAGCUAAAUACCGGCCAGAGACCGAUAGCGCACAAGUAGAGUGAUCGAAAGAUGAAAAGCACUUUGGAAAGAGAGUUAAAAAGCACGUGAAAUUGUUGAAAGGGAAGCGCAUGCAACCAGACUUGUCGGCGGUGUUCCGCCGGUCUUCUGACCGGUCUAUUCGCCGCCGGCAGGCCAGCAUCAUCUGGGCGCGCCGGAUAAAGGCGUGGGGAAUGUAGCUCCUCGGAGUGUUAUAGCCCUGCGCACAAUACGGCGCCGCCCGGGUGAGGUCCGCGCUUCGGCUAGGAUGCUGGCGUAAUGGUUGUCUGCGGCCCGUCUUGAAACACGGACCAAGGAGUCUAACAUCUAUGCGAGUGUUCGGGUGUCAAACCCCUACGCGUAAUGAAAGUGAACGGAGGUGGGAAGCGCAAGCUGCACCAUCGACCGAUCCUGAUGUCUUCGGAUGGAUUUGAGUAAGAGCAUAGCUGUUGGGACCCGAAAGAUGGUGAACUAUGCCUGAAUAGGGUGAAGCCAGAGGAAACUCUGGUGGA
rnacentral:rRNA from 1 species